UUGAUAGUGCAGAGAUUGGGAGGGGAAGUGAAGUUUGGAGAAAAGCAGGAAUAUGGGAGGAUGGAAAUUGAGGUCGGAAGGAAUUUGGGUGUUUUUGGGAAAAAAAAAAGUCAGGGAUAGGCAGGUAGUUUGGAUGAGCCACGGGGUUGAGGCUGCACAAUUGCCUGAGGGGUUUGAAGUAGUGGCAAGGAGUGAACAAGGGGCGGUUGCAGCGGUGGAGAAUUGGGAGAAGAGGGUUUAUGGGUUGCAGUACCACCCAGAGGUAAUUGGGUAUGCUUUGGAUUAUGGAUUGUUUUAGUUUUUAGCUGCUGCAUUUUUUGCGUAAUAUAUUGGGUUUUGGGAGUGUGGAAUAGUGUUUUUCAGCUGAAAUUAUUUAUGGAAAUUAUUUUGACAAAGCAUUUGUCGCUAUGUUAUCGCAUGAUCCGCAGCAAAUGGUUGAUCAUGGUUUCCUGUUUUGAUCACGACUUGGCUUUGUAUGAUGGUAUUAUAAGUAAUUUUGAGUUUGGACCUAAUAGUAGUAUUGGGAGAAUUUUAUUUGGCAUGCUACAUGUCUCUAGGUAAUUUUAUUUGAUCUCGCUGUCUUAUUCAAGUCUUGUAAAUGGUAAGCCAACCCAAACUCUUGAGGCAAAUACGGGUUUUUCGAGUUUGAAUAAACGACACAGAAUUGGCUGUUACUAUAGACAUGGGCUUAAGUAGGAAAAGUUGAAUACUAUUGGGAAGUAAAAUCUUAGAAAACAAAUUACCGUCAUGCUAGUCAGAUGGAAAGGUUUCAGAUUCAAUUCAUUGCUAAUUUUUGUUGCACAAAGCAAUCUGCAAAGAACUUUGUUGCACUGACUUGUAUGGCUCACUUAUGCAGAGGGCUUGACUCUCUCUCACAAAAACUUAGUUGCAUUAUUGCAGAUUUAAGAUUGCUAUGCAUCUUCAAGCAAGCUUUGAAACAAAUGGUGGAAAGAUACCGUUAUAUUUGUUAGGAUAUGUAGUUUUCGAACUUAUUGGAAAUGAAUGCAAGAAAAAUAGGAGAUCACUCUAUACUUUUGUUCUGAAAUUUGACUUAUAAUAAUGCAGUGUAUUUAUGGGAAAUGUUGAAUCUGUGUUUACAUGUGUUGUCAUGACAUAAACACAAAUACAUUUGCAUCCUUUUUAGGUGACUCAUUCACCAGA
rnacentral:misc_RNA from 1 species